rnacentral:misc_RNA from 1 species
CUGAGAGAGUUUGCAAGAACUCCCCCAAACCCACUGUGAACGUACCUGUUAGUUUGCUUCGGCAGGCGGUCCCCGGGGGGGACCUUCAGCGUGCUCCGGCGCGUGCCUGCCGCGAGACCACUACAAACUCUGCUGUACCGGUCGUCUGAGAACAAGAAGCCCGCUGAGAAGCAGGGUAAAUCAGUCA